UGGUGGAGUGAUUUGUCUGGUUAAUUCCGUUAACGAACGAGACCUUGACCUGCUAAAUAGUUAGUCGAAUUCUCGGAAUUCGCGUUAACUUCUUAGAGGGACUACCUGCCGGUGUACCAGGUGGAAGCACAAGGCAAUAACA
rnacentral:rRNA from 1 species